rnacentral:rRNA from 1 species
UAAAGCGCACGUAGGCGGCUUUUUAAGUCAGGGGUGAAAUCCUGGAGCUCAACUCCAGAACUGCCUUUGAUACUGAGAAGCUUGAGUCCGGGAGAGGUGAGUGGAACUGCGAGUGUAGAGGUGAAAUUCGUAGAUAUUCGCAAGAACACCAGUGGCGAAGGCGGCUCACUGGCCCGGUACUGACGCUGAGGUGCGAAAGCGUGGGGAGCAAACAGGAUUAGAUACCCGGU